UACGAAGGUCCCAAGCGUUAUCCGGAUUUAUUGGGUUUAAAGGGUGCGUAGGCGGGCUAUUAAGUCAGUGGUGAAAGCCUCAAGCUUAACUUGAGAAUUGCCAUUGAUACUGAUGACCUUGAGUACAUUUGAAGUGGGCGGAAUGUGUCAUGUAGCGGUGAAAUGCUUAGAUAUGACACAGAACACCGAUUGCGUAGGCAGCUCACUAAACUGUUACUGACGCUGAGGCCCGAAAGCGUGGGGAGCAAACAGG
rnacentral:rRNA from 1 species